UACGAAGGGGGCUAGCGUUGUUCGGAAUCAUUGGGCGUAAAGGGUGCGUAGGCGGCGCGGUAAGUCGGGUGUGAAAUCUCGGAGCUUAACUCCGAAACUGCAUUCGAUACUGCCGUGCUUGAGGACUGGAGAGGAGACUGGAAUUUACGGUGUAGCGGUGAAAUGCGUAGAUAUCGUAAGGAAGACCAGUGGCGAAGGCGGCGACCUGGACGGACACUGACGCUGAGACGCGAAAGCGUGGGGAGCAAACAGG
rnacentral:rRNA from 1 species